GAGGGGGUAGCUCAGUGGCAGAGCAUGUGCUUAGCAGGCACAAGGUCCUGGGUUCAAUCCCCAUCACCUCCA
rnacentral:tRNA from 1 species